rnacentral:rRNA from 1 species
GACGAACGCUGGCGGCGUGCUUAACACAUGCAAGUCGAACGGAAAGGCCCUGCUUUUGUUGCGUUCUCGAGUGCCGAACGGGUGAGUAACACGUGUGUAUCCUCCCCUUGUCUUUGUGAUAACUUCUGGAAACUGGGGCUCUUACCCGAUAGGAGCUCCUGCUGCAUGGUGUGGGUUGGUAAGUUUCGGCGGUUGGGGAUGGACUCGCGGCUUAUCAGCUUGUUGGGGGGGUAGUGGCUUACCAAGGCUUCGACGGGUAGCCGGCCUGAGAGGGUGACCGGCGACAUUGGGACUGAGAUACGGCGCAGAAUCCUACGGGAGGCAGCAGUGGGGAAUAUUGCACAAUGGGCGGAAGCCUGAGGCAGCAACGCCGCGUGCGGGAUGACGGCCUUCGGGUUGUAAACCGCUUUCGCCUGUGACGAAGCGUGAGUGACGGUAAUGGGUAAAGAAGCACCGGCUAACUACGUG